AGACACCGGACACGACACGAGAGACCUUCCUUCCCUCAAAAAAGAAAAAAAGGACACGAGAGACCUUCCUUCCUCCUUUGUUCCUCUUACCAACGACCGGCUGUGCUAGGGUUCCUGAUCCCCCCGACGAAUUCUCCAGCUCUGCUACACCACCCCGCUCCACAUCCCUCCACCAGAAUUAGGAUGCCUCGAGUCGGAGACCCAGAAGCAUCCUCGUUCUUAAGGCUCUUGGCGGAGUUCGGUUACCUUUCCUCCAUCAUCCUGGAACGAUGGAUUAAUUUGAAGAAUGUGUCUAUCGGGCGGCCUUUCUUAAUAUACAACACUGUUUACAAGGCACCCCAACCCGAUGGGUGCCAUGUUGAGUGGUGAAGGGAUUCUGUGAAAAGAAACAACCCUCGGAACUGUAGUUUUGUGAAAAAUUAUACCAAUGAGAGUGAGUAAUUCUGUAAAACACAUGUUUAAAAGUGUGCUUUUAUGAGACGUUAUUUCAAAUUAAGAUCUGCUUUCUGUUAUGUCAAUCAAAGUGUCUCCUUGUGAAA